rnacentral:piRNA from 1 species
UAACAAUUAUAUAUGGGAACAGAUCUUUGC